UACAUCACUUACAUAGAGCGUGAAAAUGGGCUGAAACCUUCAGGUUUUGAUCUUUCAUGGUAAAACUUGUUCUGUGAUUUCAGAAGUGCCAGAAAACCUCUAUGACACAGGAGAUGUUCCUGAUUUUAACAUUUCUGAAGGGAGCUGCUGACAGAGAAGGAUGAAAACAUACACAUUUUGAUGUCCACGCUGUAGGAGCAUUACUAAAUAAGUAAAACUAAAAUAUAUAUAUUUAUUGUAAAUGAUUAUAUAAAUUAUAUAUUCUGUGAAUUAUUAUUUUUCUUUUCUGCAUUUCACCUCUGCUAUAGUAUAUGCCUUAUACCUGGCAUUUUAUAAUAAAUAUUGUUGUCUCUGUGACAGUGCUUAUGUUCCUGUCAGGAUCCUGCCCUGACAGCCCUGUCCAUCUUGUCUCUGUUCCAUGUUUCUCUGUUUGUUUUGUGUCUAAGCACAUGGUUCUGUCUUUGUUUGUGUCUGCCACGUGCUCCCCUUGUCCCACCUCCUUGUUACCCCUGGUCACGCCCCCUUGUUUAGCCCUUGUCUGCUUGAUUGUUUUUACCUGAUCCUCAUGUGUACUUUCCUAUAUAUUGGGGUUUCUUUCCUUGUGUCUCUGCUGGUUCGUUUUUGGUGUUUAUCCAUCUCUUGGCCUAGAAUUUAUCCCUUUGAGCUUGAUAAUUAUUUUGAUCUCUUAUCUAGUUGUUUAUAUCCUUUUUGGUCUUUAGCUUUGUCUAGUUUAAAAGAAAAGGAAGUCUUUUUGUGUAUUCUAAUCUAGUUUUGUUUCUCAUUCGAUUUAAACUUUCAUUUAUUCUUGCUUAAGUGAUUCCAGUUUUGGAUUGAGUUUUGUUCUUACUCUUGGAUUAUAGCUUUGGAUUUCUUUUGCUUUGUUCUAAUUUUGUCUUCAAUUGUCUGUGUCGUUUUGAGUCUUGUUUUUGUGUAUUGUCCUGUCUUGGCCCCACUCGGAUUUCCUGACCACUGUACCCCACUGCCUGGAAGCAGCUCACCUCUCUCACGUGUCAAGUCUCUGGUCUUGUGAGUCUCUACCUGGCGACUAGUCUGGUGACGUUGCAGUUUCACUUGAAGCUACGAGUUUCCUGUGUCUACCUGGCCCUUCCUCUGGAGCUGCCUACUCUGUGCUUGGGCCUGUGGUCAUCUUGGACUGUCUCAGUGGUCAUCCCUCCUGCCCGUAUUGUUGUCUGCCCAGCCCAUCUGUUUGAACUGUUUCACUGCAAAUUCCCCAGCUGUUCCAGUCUUUGUCUUGUUAAUAAAAUACCCUUGUCUGCUCAUUCUGCAUUUGGGUCCCAUUUCUUGCAGAUCUCUGACAGUUCCUAGGUUUUUCCAUGCUGAUGGCUGUGCUCUAGUCAUAUCUCCUUGUCGAAGAACAUUUUUAGACAUUAUGAACCAUGAAUAAGUUUAGCUCCAACCCCAGUUAAGCAGACCUGAGCAGCUGAUCAAGGAUCACCAGAAACUCUGCAGAACGGUGGUCCUCCAGCCCAGGACUGGACACCAGUGUUAGUGUCUGUCUCAGAAGCUGAAGAAAAAAGGCCACACCUUAUAGGAAAUAAACGCCUCCUAAGUGUACGGAAAUACCUGGCUGAGGAGAUCAGUGACAUAAACCAGAUAAAACUGUCAGUGGUAAGUGUUUACAUAUCCAUAUCCGAAUAGAAUUGCUACAACCUCAUAUCUAAUAUGACUCGAAGUCUGAGACAGCUACAAGCCACAAAAACAGUUCAUAGUUCCUGCAUUUCUAUUAAUGCAUUAAUGAAUAACAAUAAUUAAAAUAAAAUGUAAUGUCAAGGUUUUGUGUUAAUUCCAGCUAUGUUGAGUAUUCUGUGAAUAAUUUUGAUUUUAGGUGCAUAUUCUUAAUUCUUUGCAAAACAACCUGAACUGUUUGCUAUUGAAAGGUUGGUAUGAAGUUUAAAUAAAUAAAAAAAUAUAUUCUUGACAAAACCUGUGUACAGUUUGUAUUAAUAAUUUAAAUUAUUUACUUAUAUUAAUUAAUGGCCUAAUUACCAGCUAUCAGUUAAACAUUCAAAUCAGAACCAAUAUAAAACUGCAACGAAAACUAUUAAAUAUAUGCAAAUAAAGACCAGUACAAACUUGCAAUGGAACCAUCAGAACCAUUACAAAACUGACGGAAACCAUUAAAUUUGUUUUAAUAAAGACCAAUACAAACUUGUAAUGGAACCAUCAGAACCAUUACAAAACUGACGGAAACCAUUAAAUUUGUUUUAAUAAAGACCAAUACAAACUUGCAAUAGAACCAUCAGAACCAAUACAAAACUGUGAUGGAAACCAUUAUGUGCAAAUCGUGACCAAUAAAAACUUGUAUUGGAAACCAAUACAAACCAAUAAAUCCUAAUGGAAUAUGCCCAAAACACACUACGUAAUGGAAACCAUUUGGUAAUGGUUUUAAUGGUUAUUUGCUGAUGGUUUGUAAUGGUUUUGUAAUGGAAACCAUUAGAAUUUCUGUAAUGGUUUCUAUUGUUUUUUUCAGCAGGGCAGUGUUUACUCUCUCGGUCAGCUGGUGCACAAGAUCCGGGUCUGUCAAACUCUGACCCAGCGGCGAGGAGCACAACAUUAGUGCGGCGUGAGGGAGAAACGGCCACUUUUC